GUCAUUUAUUUCUUUUUUACCCUUAUACAUGCCAUUUUUGAAAGCAUUGAAACAGUCAGGCUAUUAUUUUUUUUUAAUGGGAAAAUUAAAAUUGUAAGGGAACCUCGCUGUGGCAUUGAUGAACAUACAUGUACAUGUAGUUUGUAUUUGAUUUACUUUGUUUUUUAACACUGCAUUGAUUCAAAAUCUUAUCAUUAUGCACUUCCCCAUCUACCUCAUGCAGAAGGUUGUGCAUAUAACAUGACUAGGUUUGAUGCUUAUAAUGUUCGUGUUUUGAUCCUUGCCAAAAAAAAAUCCUUUAUUAAGUACAAAUAUACCAUAAUUAUUGCUGGAACAUACUAUGUAGACCAUAUACCUGGUACAGAAUGUGAACUAAAUUUAAUAAAAAUACCAAAAAAAAAGAAAGAAUUUAAAAAAAUAUAGUGGUCAACAUUGAGAAAGAAAUACAUCAUAUCCCCUGGCAUUGCCCAUUUCACUGUCACACCUUACAUGCUUUGCAAUACACUGAAAACAGACAGUUGUACAGCUUUGUUUUUAUUUCAUAAAUCACCUGAAUUUGUUGCCAAGUUUUAGGGUAUUUUAAGGUAUGUUGAGAUGUGGAGGCGAUUGAUAUCUAAUGCUACUAGACUUGGGGGAAAAGAAAAUAAGAUGUGCUCCUUUUUUGUAUUUUCAAAUGUAUUAUUCAUUUUUUAGUCCAAAAUUGAACGUGCAUCCUUUUUCCUCCCCAAGGGAAAAUAUAUAUGUUAAAAAUGAAAUAAAAGAGUUACAGAUUG
rnacentral:misc_RNA from 1 species